ensembl:misc_RNA Metazoa_SRP Metazoan signal recognition particle RNA
GCCAGGCACGGUGGCACAUGCCUGUAGUCCCAGUUAUUUGGGAGGCUGAGGUGGGAGGAUCACUUGAGCCCAGGAGUUCUGGGCUAUAGUGCACUAUGCUGAUUGGGUGUCUGCACUAAGUUCGGCAUCAAUAUGGUGACCUCCCAGGAGCAGGGGACCACCAGGUUGCAUAAGGAGGGGUGAACCAGCCCAGGUCAGAAACAGAGCAGGUCUAAACUUCCAUGCUGAUCAGUAGUGGGAUCGUACCUGUGAAUAGCCACUGCACUCCAGCCUGGGCAACAUAGUGAGAUCCAGUCUCAA